rnacentral:rRNA from 1 species
GAGUUUGAUCUUGGCUCAGAUUGAACGCUGGCGGCAUGCCUUACACAUGCAAGUCGAACGGCAGCAUGAUCUAGCUUGCUAGAUUGAUGGCGAGUGGCGAACGGGUGAGUAAUACAUCGGAACGUGCCCUGUAGUGGGGGAUAACUAGUCGAAAGAUUAGCAAAUACCGCAUACGACCUGAGGGUGAAAGUGGGGGACCGCAAGGCCUCAUGCUAUAGGAGCGGCCGAUGUCUGAUUAGCUAGUUGGUGGGGUAAAGGCCCACCAAGGCGACGAUCAGUAGCUGGUCUGAGAGGACGAUCAGCCACACUGGGACUGAGACACGGCCCAGACUCCUACGGGAGGCAGCAGUGGGGAAUUUUGGACAAUGGGCGAAAGCCUGAUCCAGCAAUGCCGCGUGUGUGAAGAAGGCCUUCGG